UACAGAGGGUGCGAGCGUUGUUCGGAAUUACUGGGCGUAAAGCGCGCGCAGGCGGCUUUUUAAGUCCGACGGUGAAAUGCCGGGGCUCAACCCCGUGCCCGCCGCGGAUACUGGGAAGCUGGAGACGAGUAGAGGCAAGCGGAAUUCCGGGUGUAGCGGUGGAAUGCGCAGAUAUCAGGAGGAACACCGGUGGCGAAGGCGGGUCUCUGGGCAGUAACUGACGCUGAGGAGCGAAAGCGUGGGGAGCGAACAGG
rnacentral:rRNA from 1 species